GUUGAGGGGAAUGAAGCCUGGUCCGAAAUCAUCCAGAUCACACCAUGCAGUUUGCAUAUGAAAGAUUUCGCACCAGACGACACUCCCCUCAAC
rnacentral:pre_miRNA from 1 species